GACGGGGGAUGCAAGCGUUAUUCGGAAUUAUUGGGCGUAAAGCGUCUGUAGGUGGCGAGGAAAGUGUUGUGUUAAAGAUCAAGGCUUAACCUUGAAAAAGCAUUGCAAACUAUCUCGCUUGAGUUCGGUAGGGGCAGAGAGAAUUCCCAGUGUAGCGGUGAAAUGCGUAGAUAUUGGGAGGAAGACCAGUGGCGAAGGCGUUCUGCUGGGCCGUAACUGACACUCAGAGACGAAAGCUAAGGGAGCAAAUAGGAUUAGAUACCCUAGUAGUCUUAGCUGUAAACGAUGCACACUAUGUUUUGCUUCAGAGCAAAAGUUAACGCGUUAAGUGUGCCGCCUGGGGAGUACAUUCGCAAGGAUG
rnacentral:rRNA from 1 species